rnacentral:pre_miRNA from 1 species
UUGUGGGCUUCCGGUGUGGCUCCUGCCCUUUGUGUGUGUGUGUCUCUCUCUGUGUCCUGCCAGUGGUUUUACCCUAUGGUAGGUUACGUCAUGCUGUUCUACCACAGGGUAGAACCACGGACAGGAUACUGGGGCGCUCUCGGCAUCGGA